GACGAACGCUGGCGGCGUGCUUAACACAUGCAAGUCGAACGGAAAGGCCCUGCUUUUGUGGGCUGCUCGAGUGGCGAACGGGGGAGUAACACGUGAGUAACCUGCCCCUGACUUUGGGGUAACUUCAGGAAACUGGGGCUAAUACCACAUAGGAGCUCCUGCUGCAUGGUGGGGGUGGGAAAGGUUCGGCUGUUGGGGGUGUACGCGCGGAUUAUCAGCUUGUGGGUGGGGUAGUGGCUUACCAAGGCGUUGCCGGGUAGCCGACCUGCGAGGGUGGCCGGCCACAUUAGGCCUGAGAUACGGCGCGGACUCGAAUGGUAGGCAGCGGUGGGGAAGAUUGUACAGUGGGCGGAAGCCUGAUGCAGCGACGCCGCGUGCGGGAUGACGGCCUUCGGGUUGUAAACCGAUUUCGCCUGUGACGAAGCGUGAGUGACGGUACUGGGUAAAGAAGCACCGGCUAACUCCGUG
rnacentral:rRNA from 1 species